UAGUGUGACCAACCAUCCCGGUUUGCCUAGGACUGUCCCAGUUUUAGCACUAACUGCAUCCUGGGAAAGUCCUCAGUUCCAGGCAAACCUGGAUGGUUGGUCACUUGAUGUCAA
rnacentral:pre_miRNA from 1 species